CACCGCGGUUAUACGAGAGGCCCAAGUUGAUAGGCAUCGGCGUAAAGAGUGGUUAGGAGAAAUAAAAAACUAAAGCCGAACGCCCUCCAAGCUGUUAUACGCUUACGAAGGUAUGAAGCACACCCACGAAAGUGGCUUUACAUCCUCUGACUCCACGAAAACUAUGAAA
rnacentral:rRNA from 1 species